UGGGGAAUUUUGGACAAUGGGCGCAAGCCUGAUUCAGCAAUGCCGCGUGCAGGAUGAAGGCCUUCGGGUUGUAAACUGCUUUUGUACGGAGCGAAACGGUCCAUUUUAACACAGUGGGCUAAUGACGGUACCGUAAGAAUAAGCACCGGCUAACUACGUGCCAGCAGCCGCGGUAAUACGUAGGGUGCGAGCGUUAAUCGGAAUUACUGGGCGUAAAGCGUGCGCAGGCGGUUAUAUAAGACAGAUGUGAAAUCCCCGGGCUCAACCUGGGACCUGCAUUUGUGACUGUAUAGCUAGAGUACGGUAGAGGGGGAUGGAAUUCCGCGUGUAGCAGUGAAAUGCGUAGAUAUGCGGAGGAACACCGAUGGCGAAGGCAAUCCCCUGGACCUGUACUGACGCUCAUGCACGAAAGCGUGGGGAGCAAACAGGAUUAGAUACCCUGGUAGUCCACGCCGUAAACGAUGGGUACUAGGUGUCUGGGGGAACGACCCCCUGGGUGCCGGCGCUAACGCAUGAAGUACCCCGCCUGGGGAGUACGGCCGCAAGGCUG
rnacentral:rRNA from 1 species